rnacentral:tRNA from 1 species
UCCCUGAUGGCUCAGAUGGUAAAGCAUCUGUCUACAAUGCAGGAGACCCAGGUUCAACUCCUGGGUUGGGAA